rnacentral:rRNA from 1 species
GCAUAACGCGAAGAACCUUACCUAGGCUUGACAUGCAUCUCUAAGCACGUGAAAGCGUGUGAACCCUUCCGGGGAAUUUGCACAGGUGCUGCAUGGCCGUCGUCAGCUCGUGUCGUGAGAUGUUCGGGGUUAAGUACCCCGCAACGAGCGCAAACCCCUUGUGACUAGUUGCCAGCACGUCAUGGUGGGAACUCUAGUCAGACUGCCCAGAUCAACUGGGAGGAAGGUGGGGACGACGUCAGGUCAGUAUGGCCCUUACGCCUAGGGCUGCACACGUACUACAAUGCCCAGCACAAUGAGAACCGAGACCGCGAGGUGGAGGAAAUCUUAAAAAACUGGGCCCAGUUCGGAUUGGAGGCUGCAACUCGCCUCCAUGAAGUUGGAAUCGCUAGUAAUGGCGCAUCAUCUACGGCGCCGUGAAUACGUUCCCGGGUCUUGUACACACCG